UACGAAGGGGGCUAGCGUUGCUCGGAAUCACUGGGCGUAAAGGGUGCGUAGGCGGGUCUUUAAGUCAGGGGUGAAAUCCUGGAGCUCAACUCCAGAACUGCCUUUGAUACUGAAGAUCUUGAGUUCGGGAGAGGUGAGUGGAACUGCGAGUGUAGAGGUGAAAUUCGUAGAUAUUCGCAAGAACACCAGUGGCGAAGGCGGCUCACUGGCCCCGAUACUGACGCUGAGGCACGAAAGCGUGGGGGGAGCAAACAGGAUUAGAUACCCUGGUAGUCCACGCCGUGAACGAUGAAUGCCAGCCGUUAGUGGGUUUACUCACUAGUGGCGCAGCUAACGCUUUAAGCAUUCCGCCUGGGGAGUACGGUCGCAAGAUUAAAACUC
rnacentral:rRNA from 1 species